AUGGCGGCGCCGCCGGCACACCUCCGCCGCCUCCUCCUGCCGCACCUCCGCCGCAACCGCCUCUUCUCCGCCCUCACCGACACCCCUGCCCCGGCCUCAGACGCCAUCCUCUACUCGCUCCGCGGCCUCGCCAAGGACCCGCCCCAGGCGCUGUCCCUCUUCCGGCGCGCGGCGGCCGCGGGCCACCCGCUCGGCCCCGCGGCGUACAACCUCAUGCUGCGCACGCUCGCCUCCACCCCGGCCGCCGCGCAGGCCCACUUCUGGCCCUUCCUCCGCGACAUGGACGCCGCCGGCCACUCCGUCGACCAGGGCACCUACCUCGCCGCCCUCGCCUCCUUCAAGCGCGCCAGCCUAGCCACCGACUACGCCACCCUCUCCGCGCGCCUCGCCAAGUCCCGGGCCGACCACGCCGCCGCCGGCGGCACCCCCCUCACCGCCCUCGCCGACGCCGUCCGCGGGCUCGACCUCGACCAGGCGGGGUCGGACGAGGAGCUCGAGGAGAAGCUGGAGGGCGUCGCCGAGCAGCUGCUGCCGCUGACCGAGGCGACCGUGGCCGGGGUGCUGCGGGAGGCGCGGGACGUCCCGGCCAAGGCGCUCGCUUUCUUCCGGUGGGCUGGCCGGCAGAGGGGGUACGAGCACGGGUCCGUUGCCUACAACGCGAUGGCGAGGGUGCUCGGCCGGGAGGAGUCACAGCGGGAGUUCUGGGAGCUGGUGCAGGAGAUGAAGGCCGGCGAGCUGCACAUCGACAUCGACACCUACAUGAAGCUCUCCCGGCAGUUCCAGAAGCGCCACAUGAUGACCGAGGCCGUCGAGCUCUACGAGCUCAUGAUGGACGGCCCCUACAAGCCCGCGCAGCAGGACGGGCCGCUGCUCCUCCGGCGCAUCGCCAUGGGGCCGGAGCCCGACCUUGAGCUGGUCUACCGCGUCGUGAGGAAGUUCGAGGCCGUCUACGAGUUCAAGACCAAGCACGUGUUUGACGGGAUCCACAGGGCGCUCACCAGCAAUGGCAGGUUUGAGGAGGCCGCGGAGAUCGUGGAGAGGAUGAGAGCCGCUGGCCACCAGCCGGACAACAUCACGUAUAGCCAGCUGGUCUUUGGGCUGUGCAAGGCCGCCAAGUGCGAUGAAGCUCGCCAGGUGCUCGAUGAAAUGGAGGCUGAGGGUUGCACGCCGGACUUGAAGACCUGGACCAUGUUGAUCCAAGGGAACUGUGCGGCUGGGGAGGUGGACAAGGCUCUGCAGUACUUGACAGAGAUGAUCGGGAAGGACUUGGAGGCGGACGCCGAUUUGCUGGAUGUCAUGGUGAAAGGUCUGUGCAGACAGGACAAGAUUGACGCGGCUUACACUUUGUUUGUUGAGAUGGUGGACACUGCCAAGUUGACCCCCUGGCAAGGCACUUACAAGCAUAUCAUUGCCGAGUUGCUGAGGGUGAAGAAACUCGAGGAGGCACUGGGCCUUCUUAAAUCAAUGAAAGCCCAGAAGUUCCCACCUUUUGCAGACCCCUUCCCUUCAAACAUCGCUGAAUACGGGACGCUUGAAGAUGCCAGGGACUUUCUCAAGGCCUUGAAAGGAUCGUCUAAUAACUAUCCGCAGCCCCCUAUCUAUGUGCAGAUGUUCAAGGCAUUCUUUGCGGAGGGGAGAUACUCAGAAGCUCAGGAUUUACUCUACAAAUGCCCCAUCCAUAUCCGCAGGCAUCAUGACAUCACCGAGCUGUUUGAACCAAAAAAAGUUCAGGCUACUGCUUGA
rnacentral:rRNA from 1 species